rnacentral:rRNA from 1 species
ACKGCUCAGUAACACGUGGCUAACCCACCCUCGGGACGGAGACAACCCCGGGAAACUGGGGCUAAUACCCGAUAGGCGAAGACUCCUGGAAUGGGUCUUCACCCAAAAGGUGUUAGAAUCAUGCUUCUAACAUCGCUCGAGGACGGGGCCGCGGCCGAUCAGGUAGUUGGUGAGGCAAUGGCUCACCAAGCCUAUAACCGGUACGGGCCGUGGGAGCGGGAGCCCGGAGAUGGGAACUGAGACAAGGUCCCAGGCCCUACGGGGCGCAGCAGUUGCGAAAACUCUGCAAUGCACGAAAGUGUGACAGGGCUACCCCGAGUGCCGUCCGCUGAGGAUGGCUUUUCUCUGCUGUAAGGAGGCGGAGGAAUAAGGAGAGGGCAAGUCUGGUGUCAGCCGCCGCGGUAAUACCAGCUCUCCGAGUGGUAGGGAUGAUUAUUGGGCUUAAAGCGUCCGUAGCCUGCCCUUCAAGUCUCUCGUUAAAUCCAGCGAUUCAAUCGUUGGACUGCGGGAGAUACUGUUAGGCUAGGGGGCGGGAGAAGCCGACGGUAUUCCCGGGGUAGGGGUAAAAUCCUAUAAUCCCGGGAAGACCACCAGUGGCGUAGGCGGUCGGCUAGCACGCGCUCGACGGUGAGGGACGAAAGCUGGGGGAGCGAACCGGAUUAGAUACCCGGGUAGCCCCAGCCGUAAACGAUGCGGGCUAGGUGUUGGAGCGGCUACGCGCCGCUUCAGUGCCGCAGGAAAUCCAUUAAGCCCGCCGCCUGGGGAGUACGGCCGCAAGGCUGAAACUUAAAGGAAUUGGCGGGGGAGCAC